AGAUGUGAAUGUCGUGUGAUGUUGGCUUUCCAGUGUCUUGCAUGGUGUGGUAGCAGCAGAAAUGAGCUUGGCUGGGCACCCUCUCUGGGCCUUGGAGGACAGCCUGGGCCCUUCUGAAAAUACAGGCAGCUUCCUUUCCCUGACUCGCCUGGAGGGGCAAGGCCCUGUGGUGCGGUCUGGCUCUGAGGCCUGUGGUCCUGCUUGGGACUGGCAGUCUUAGGCUGAGAGAACAUUUUCCAGAGUAUAGCCGAGGGACAGAAUGUCUCAGUAAGACGGGCUUGGAGGGGCAGGGUUUUGGAAAGGCCUCUGCUUGUUCUGGGAGGCGUUCAGGAUGCUGAGGUUUUGGAAAUUCAUGGCAGCUCUUCACAACUGCUCCCAGCUUUGGGAGGAGGAAUAGACGGGUGCUCGUUUCCUUGGGUUCAGUGGCAAAGGUGAAGCCCAGCACUGCCGACCUGGGACCUGGGCCUCUCCAUGGCCUGGGGAGGACACUGGACUUUGAAGAGGAGUGCAGCCUAGGAAGCCUGGACCCUGGAGUCAUGAGAUGCUGCUCCCAUCCAGUAAGCCCUGGCUGGAGCUCUGCUGGGCACUGACCCUGGCAUAAAACCAGUGGGGCCUCUGGGCCUGCAUUCAACUGUGCCUCUGAUGGAGCAGGUUCAGCUUGGUUGUGACCUCUGCUGGAAGCCCUCCCUGGCCCCCCUGUGCACUGAGCUGGCGGUUCCUCCUCUGUGCCCCAGGAGCUGCGAUGGAAGAAGUCUGGAUACCCUCUUGGAGAAAUCCACACGGAGAGGAGAUGUGGAAAAGCCACAUGGAGAAGGAGGGGCCCAUAGAGGACAGAAAGAGAGAAGGAACCCCAGCAAUGCACUAGUCCCAGCCGAGCCCAGCCCUCCGGGUCCUUUCCAGGGUGCUCGACAUAUAAGGCCAUCAUCUUGACUCAGCCAGCCCAGUCUAGCUCCCAGAUGACUUCAGUUCCAGCUGCCAUCUGGCUGCAGCAGCAUAAAAGUCCCUCAGUGAGAUCAGUGGAAGAACUGCUCAGCCAACUUAUAAAGUUGUGAGAGAUAAUAAAUGUUUGUUGUCCAUUUUAAGCCACUGCAUUUUAGAGUGGUUUGAUACAUACAGGUAGAUAACCAAAAAGUAAGUGCCUAGGACAGCGCCUGCCAUAUAGCAGGCAUUCAAUAAAUAUUGACUGACUA